AGACCGCAGCCUCCUUCUUCUCCUCCUCCUCCUCCUCAGCCGCUCAUCAUGCACACACGCACCGCGUUGUUGUGGUAGCUGUAAUUCACCUUCACAUCAACGGAACAUGGAGGAUUUCACCUUAUUCUUCGAUGAUGGGCUCGUCCGAUGCUCAGCUAAUGCCCUCCGUCGACAGAGUGGUGUCCAGGCAGUGUGGUUCGGCUGGUAAAUACACAGAUCUACAGGAUGUCCACUGGCCUGCUUUGAUAGAAGUGGUGUGAUGUGGCCUGAGGAUCACCUGAUGGACUGACAUUUGACCACAGACCAAUGAGCUUUGUCCGAUGAACCCCAUCUGAAAGUAGGAAGUGACUCUAUAACUACAGACACAAAGACAGGAACAGAGUCAGCAACUCCUGGACCUCAGUAUAAGGUGAAUGUUGGCCUCCACAAAACACAAGGAACUUCCGUUUGAACUUGAUUUUAGCUCCCCUUGUGGACAUA